rnacentral:rRNA from 1 species
UAGGGAAUCUUCCACAAUGGGCGAAAGCCUGAUGGAGCAACGCCGCGUGUGUGAUGAAGGGUUUCGGCUCGUAAAACACUGUUGUAAGAGAAGAAUGACUUUGAGAGUAACUGUUCAAUGUGUGACGGUAUCUUACCAGAAAGGAACGGCUAAAUACGUGCCAG